rnacentral:rRNA from 1 species
AGGACGAACGCUGGCGGCGUGCCUAACACACGCAAGUCGAACGGGACCAGGGGCAACUCUGGUUCAGUGGCGGACGGGUGCGUAACACGUGAGGAACAUGACCUUCGGCGGGGGAUAGCCGGCCCAACGGCCGGGUAAUACCGCGUACGACCACUUUGGGACAUCCCUGGGUGGUGAAAGCAGCAAUGCGCCGAUGGAGUGCCUCGCGGCCUAUCAGCUAGUUGGUGAGGUAACGGCUCACCAAGGCGACGACGGGUAGC